AAUUAAUCAAAAGCCUAAACGAACUUGAACUAGACACAGCAAGAGAAGAGUAGGGGAAGGGGAAGAAGAAGAGGAAGAAGAAGAUGAUAUACAGGAAAUGGAGUCUGUUAACGGGACCCGUCACGAUCUUGGGGGGCAUAGUAGGCACUGUCGUCGUCGCCAACUUCGUCUUCAAUGAUAACGAUCGAUUUCUGAAGCCGGAGGCAAGGAAGGCGGAUGCAUCCACUUCAAGCAAAUAAGAGGAGGAAGGUGAAAGAGCUGCAUUUUCAAUGUAAUUCAAGCUUUUGGCUUUCUGUCUUUAUUUGUUGUUCUGCAAAAUUGUGGUGAUGCUGCACCUUCAGACAUGACUUGUCGGUUUAAUAAUCCAGAAUUCAAAUUUGAGUUCUGAUUUAAGGUUGUGUGGUUAAAUUUCGUGGGAUAUGUUUUAUCUGUUGUCUUGACAUUUCUUGCUUUUCAAGCUGAGAAGAAUUAAUCAAAUUCCAUUGCUUCCGUUGUCACGAU